UUUUUUUGUUUUUACUCGAGCCUAUGAAAGUUCUGUGACUCCUGUCCGACAGUAAAACAUUUCAGAGAGACAGUGUGCUUCAUUCGGGUUUUUAAUGAAGAGAAAGAAUUCAUUCUCUGGCUCCACCCUGAGGAUUUCAGAAACCAGGUUUACGGGAAAACAGUAAAAGAGGGGUUUUGCAUCUGUACAGAUUUGGGGGGCUGCUACACUAGGCUGGAUCUUGCCUGUCUAUGGUAGGCACCGGUAGGAGCAAAGGAUUAUUGUUCCCCACAUCCAGUGAGGAGAGAAUCAGUGUUCCCAGAUGCAGGGGACAAAAAUGAAGUGAAGGUGCAGCGGGCAGACCAAGAAGGAGAAUUCACUCAACAUGAUCAUAGCUGCUGUUGGAGGUGCGGCCUCUGUCCCUGCGGCCCCUUAUUGCAGUUGGGGGGUAGGAGGUCCAGGGAAACGGGCAGCCUGCCACUUCCACUUCUCCUCCUUCCCUUUCUUCCCUACAAGAAAAGUCAAAAAUGUUGCUUCCACAGCACCCCACAUUUGAGGACCACAGCUCUCCAGCCAAAGCAGUUCUACCUUUCUCCUGGACUCUCUACAGCCUGAGGGCAGCCAUCCAGAAGCCCUCCUGACUCCUCACCCAACCUUUGCCAACCCAAAGACCCCAGUGCUCAGGAGGGAAACCAUCUUCAAGCCCUCCUGACUCCACCCCAACCCCUCCCAACCUGAAGACCUAAGUCCCAGGAGGGAAACCAUGUGGUGGCCUCCUUACUCCACCCCAACCCCUCCCAACCUGAAGAACCAAACCUCAGGAGGGAAACUAUCUUGAAGUCCUCCUGAUUCCACCCCAAAUCCUCACAGCUCAAAGACUCAAGCCUUGGGAUGUCUUCUGGGGCCUGGAGUUGUUUCUGACUGCCCCUACACAGCCCCCCGCCCCACCAGCAGCACUCCUACAUCCUGCCCUCCCCCUUCCAGAUAUUCAUAGAAAACCUUUUAUUUCCCCAUACCUCUGUUAAUGAAUAAAAGUUGUGAAAAUCCCAUCUCACAACUGAUGGUC